rnacentral:rRNA from 1 species
GGUGAACGCUGGCGGCGUGCUUAAGACAUGCAAGUCGAACGCAGUCUUCGGACUGAGUGGCGCACGGGUGAGUAACACGUAACUGACCUACCCCCAAGUCGCGAAUAACCAGCCGAAAGGACGGCUAAUACGUGAUGUGAUGAUCCGCUGUGGCGGAUCAUUAAAGACUUGAUCGCUUGGGGAUGGGGUUGCGUUCCAUCAGCUAGUUGGUAAGGUAAAGGCUUACCAAGGCAACGACGGAUAGCCGGCCUGAGAGGGUGGCCGGCCACAGGGGCACUGAGACACGGGUCCCACUCCUACGGGAGGCAGCAGUUAGGAAUCUUCCACAAUGGGCGCAAGCCUGAUGGAGCGACGCCGCGUGAGGGAUGAAGGUUCUCGGAUCGUAAACCUCUGAACCAACGACGAAAGACCCGACAAGGGAGAUAACGGUAGUUGGGUAAUAGCACCGGCUAACUACGUGCCAGCCGCCGCGGUAAAAC